rnacentral:rRNA from 1 species
UACGGAAGGGGCAAGCGUUUUUCGGAAUCAUUGGGCGUAAAGGGCGCGUAGGUUGUUUUGUGUGUCCGCCGUGAAAGCGUACAGCUCAACUGUAUCAGGUCGGUGGAAACUGCAAAACUUGAGGCUGGGGGGGGCUGGUGGAAUUCCCUGUGUAGCGGUGAAAUGCGUAGAGAUGGGGGAGAACACUCGUGGCGAAGGCGGCCAGCUGGACCAGUCCUGACACUGAGGCGCGACAGCGUGGGGAGCAAACAGG